rnacentral:rRNA from 1 species
AUUGAACGCUGGCGGCAUGCCUUACACAUACAAGUCGAACGGAAACAGGUCUUCGGAUGCUGACGAGUGGCGAACGGGUGAGUAAUACAUCGGAACGUGCCUAGUAGUGGGGGAUAACUACUCGAAAGAGUGGCUAAUACCGCAUGAGAUCCACGGAUGAAAGCAGGGGAUCGCAAGACCUUGUGCUACUAGCGCGGCCGGUGGCAGCUUAGGUAGUUGGUGGGAUAAAAGCUUACCAAGCCGACGAUCUGUACCUGGUCUGAGAGGACGAUCGGCCAGACGGGGACUAAGACACGGCCCGGAGUCCCCCGGGGAGCAGCGGUGGGGAAUUUUGGACAAUGGGCGAAAUCCGGAUGCAGCAAGGCCGCGUGCAGAGUGAGGGCCUUCGGGUUGUAAGCUGCUUUUGUACGGAACGAAAAGCCCUGGGUUAAUACCCUGGGGUCAUGACGGUACCGUAAGAACAAGCACCGGCUAACCACGUGCCAGCAGCCGCCGUAACAC